CGCUAGAGUGAGGCGCCCCUCUUAACUAUCUGUGAAGAAAACAUACGCGAGUUACACACGUGUAGAAUACAAACAUGGGCAAAAGAAGGCGAGGAAAUCAAGAGAUUACAAGUUUAACUAAGAAACAGAAUAAAAAUCUAAAAGAAUCUGGAGAACAGCACCCUAACAGCACUAUUAAUAUGCAUUAAAACUAUUCCGAAGGUGGGCUCAAUCUGUCAGGUACUUGUGCAGCUGCCACAUGUAUUCCAGAUGUUCCAAUCUGACAGCUUAAUGGACCAGGAUGCCAGGUUCCUAUUCUUUGUGGAUAAGAUCCUGCCCCAUUACAGACACUCUUGUCAUGUUGCACACUUUCAUCUAUUUGCCAUCAUGUUUGGAUUUUGUUCACCUGUGAAACUACCUGAAGGAGGAGGACAUCAGUUUCUCUAG
rnacentral:lncRNA from 1 species